AGUCAACCAUCUUGUCCCUGAUCAUUGGUCAGCACACGACGAUCUUUCCUGCCUUCUCGUGAGAGUGAUUAAUAUGUUAUAUUCUUGAUCGUAUACAUAUAUCAAUCCUUCUUGCUGCUGGAUUUCAUCUUCUAAUAGCAAACUGGAUAUCAGUUCUUGCAGAUGAUUCUUGGAGACCAUCUUUUUCUUGGGCUAUUUAGGUUGGGAACCGCUAGGGUUUGGAUAAAGUUGGGAUCUUGAUUGGAUUACCGGUUCGUUUGUGGUGGAUCGAUUGGGGUUUCUUCGUCGCCCUCCUUCUUUCUCCCUGUUCCGUUUGAGGCAUUCCUAAAUGUGUAACUUCGUGUGGUUUCUCGAGUUUGUUUUCUUUAUUCUUCAAUUGGCUUUCGAUGUCUAGGGCUGUUUGUCCAGUUUGGGCUGGUUUAGGUUUCUUCUUCGCCAUGGCGAUCUGCUGAGCGUGCUUGCUAUUGAACGAGGAAGUGAUCUAGACUAUCACCCUGGAGCGUCUUGUUUCUUGGAUUGAGAUGGUCAUGGAGCAGAGAGUCCAUGAGAUUUUAGAGGCGAUUAGGGUUGAAGUUCCGACUGUUUAAGGGAUUGUUUGAGAUGGACUGCUUGCAGCUGGGUUGGAAAGCUGAUGGAUUUCGUCGGCAAAGGCAGGUUAUGCACAAGUGAUGUGACUGUUGAAGUUGGGGAGAGAAUCUUUCUUCUUCACAAGAUAAUAAUUCUUCAUCAUUCAUCCUUAUUAGGCUGUUAAUCUCAGGUUGUGCAGAGUUCAUAUAUUCUGUUCAAAUUCAAAAUGAAAACAUAAUGACAUCUUUUUGUUGAAUCAUUAAUAUUGAUAUUUGAGAACAAGGAAAUUAAACAAUAAUUAUUCUGGCUUUUUCUACUGGUUUUUUCAAAGUUAAAACUAAAUACUAGAUGAAUCUUAUAGGAUGCAAAUUGCAGUUUGAUUGUUGCAGUUCCUCAAUUCCACUGCCAGGCUUAUAAUCAUCACUAGUCAUACAAUUACAAAUUUAGUAUUUGACGAACUCAUGUUCCUAAUCUCAACAACCGCAACAACAACGGAAACAAACAUCGUGCCAUCGACGAAGGUAAACGGGCACAUCCAUGGCUGCUUACAGAAGAGUGCCAGAGGGAAGAGCUAUUCCAGCCGAUGAACUGCUAACCAGCGAGAACAGAGGCUGAAGGUGAGCUUUGAUGAUGGUGUCUGAAAUCCAAAAAGAGUGCUCAAGCAUGAACAAGAACUCGACACUGAUAAGGGCUAAUUAAAGCUUACAAUUCACAAGAAACAAUUGUCGACAGGCAUGUAAAGACUCUGCAAGGAUCUUAUAGUUUCAUGAGCAUGCUUUUUUCUGAUACAAGGCAGCAGAAUUCUCAACCUUGUUCAGAAAGGGAGAUGAAAGCCGAUAUGAACCCAUCCUUCAUGGUCUGUGUCCUAUAGGCUAUUUGAGUGUGAUGAAAACUUGGUUUCAAUACUGAUGCAUGUAUCAGUCAAGAGUCAGUAAUGACAAGAUAUAUGAUAGAUGCAUGGAUGAAUGAGUUCUAUUUGAUCCA